GCCGGGGUUUCUUUACCAGGUACUGUCAUUAUCAUCCCUGGCGAAAGUGCUUUACGACCCUAAGGCCUUCAUCACACACGCGGCAUGGCUAGAUCAGGCUUGCGCCCAUUGUCUAAGAUUCCCC
rnacentral:rRNA from 1 species